rnacentral:rRNA from 1 species
UACGUAGGGUGCGAGCGUUGUCCGGAAUUACUGGGCGUAAAGAGCUCGUAGGUGGUUUGUCGCGUUGUCCGUGAAAACUCACAACUCAAUUGUGGGCGUGCGGGCGAUACGGGCAGACUGGAGUACUGCAGGGGAGACUGGAAUUCCUGGUGUAGCGGUGGAAUGCGCAGAUAUCAGGAGGAACACCGGUGGCGAAGGCGGGUCUCUGGGCAGUAACUGACGCUGAGGAGCGAAAGCGUGGGGAGAGACCAGG